GUUUGUUGCGGUUAAAAGCUCGUAGUUGGAUUUUGGGCGCAGGCGGCCGGUCCGUCGCAAGGCGUGUACUGGCCGUCCUGGCCUCACCUCCGGUUCUCCGCCGGUGCCCUUGACUGAGUGUCGGCGGCGGCCGGAACGUUUACUUUGAAAAAAUUAGAGUGUUCAAAGCAGGCGAUUCGCCUGAAUAAUGGUGCAUGGAAUAAUGGAAUAGGACCUCGGUUCUAUUUUGUUGGUUUUCGGAGCGCGAGGUAAUGAUUAAGAGGGACAGACGGGGGCAUUCGUACUGUGCCGUUAGAGGUGAAAUUCUUGGAUCGGCGCAAGACGAACGACUGCGAAAGCAUUUGCCAAGAAUGUUUUCUUUAAUCAAGAGCGAAAGUCAGAGGUUCGAAGACGAUCAGAUACCGUCCUAGUUCUGACUAUAAACGAUGCCAACUAGCGAUCGGGGGGCGUUAGUUUUACGACCUCUCCGGCAGCUUGCGGGAAACCAAAGUCUUUGGGUUCCGGGGGAAGUAUGGUUGCAAAGCUGAAACUUAAAGGAAUUGACGGAAGGGCACCACCAGGAGUGGAGCCUGCGGCUUAAUUUGACUCAACACGGGAAAUCUCACCCGGCCCGGACACAGUGAGGAUUGACAGAUUGAGAGCUCUUUCUUGAUUCUGUGGGUGGUGGUGCAUGGCCGUUCUUAGUUGGUGGAGCGAUUUGUCUGGUUAAUUCCGAUAACGAACGAGACUCUGGCUUGCUAACUAGUUACGCGACCCAAUCGGUCGGCGUCUAACUUCUUAGAGGGACUAGUGGCGUUUAGCCACACGAGAUUGAGCAAUAACAGGUCUGUGAUGCCCUUAGAUGUUCGGGGCCGCACGCGCGCUACACUGACCGGAUCAGCAUGUGCUCGCCUUGGCCGACAGGUCUGGGUAACCCGCUGAACCCCGGUCGUGCUAGGGAUAGGGAAUUGCAAUUAUUUCCCUUGAACGAGGAAUUCCC
rnacentral:rRNA from 1 species